AACGGCCGUACCAUGCUGAAUAUACCGGUUCUCGUUAGAUCACCGAAGUUAAGCAUCAUUGGGCGCGGUCAGUACUUGGGUGGGUGACCACCUGGGAACACUGCCUGCCGU
rnacentral:rRNA from 1 species